GGCUUCGUGGCAAGGAGGGGUUCCAGGUGCUGGAGCAGGCGUUCCAGGAGUAGGGUUCUACCCAGGAGCUGGCCUUGGAGGUGGACUUGGGGGUGGACUUGGGGGUGGACUUGGAGGAACAGGACUAGGAGCAAAACCUCCCAAACCAGGAGUUGGAGGGACUGGAGCACUAGGUGGCCUGUUUCCAGGAGGCGCCUAUCCUGGUGGAUCUGCUGCUGCAGCCUAUAAAGCCGCCGCUAAAGCUGGUGAGUCAAAGCUGCUGUUCCCUGUUGACCUCACUUAUUCUGAUCGCAUUUCAUCUUGCCACAGACCAGACUUGGACAAAAAUCAUGGGUGAAGUCAAGGUCUGUUCAAUUCCUCCCUGCCUUUAACCUAGCUUUCUUGAUAUUUGGUGCCUACAUCUCUCUCUCAUUCUUAUAAGAUCAUUUCUCUAUCUGCUCUCUUCCCAUCUUGGCCUAUAGAUGAUAACUCCCAAAUAAUAUUGCAGUAACUCCUGAUGUAGAAGUCAUUGCAUUGUGUUUCCUGUCAUUAGAGGAGGCUUCCUGGGAUUGCU